CUCUCAGCUGUGGGCUGUUCUGUGGAAGCUUGAACUUCCAUUUAAAUUCCUUAUUUCCUUUGGAAACUACAAAAUGAUUGUCUACGAGCGAUUUAGGGAGAUAGCAAAAUAGGAAUCUCAUCACUGAUGCUUCUUGCCCUUCAUGUGCUAUAGAAGAGGAAUGCUUGGAUCACCUAUUUAUUACCUAUUACUUAACUUGUGUGACAUGGUUCAGAUCACCACUCCCCAUUAGAAGGUACUUGAGUCAAAGUCAAAUCAUAAUUCUGUUGCUACUUAGCUGGAAAGAGUGUAUAAAGCAUAAGGCCGGUGCAAUCACUUCACUCUAUUUUCUCUCAACAAUCUUUGGGCUAUUUGGAUACAUUGAAAUAAAAUAGCGCAUGAAAGAAUAAGUGUUAAUGCUAGGUUUUGAAGUCCUAAGUCGUAGUGCUUACCUUUAUACUAUUUGUAGGGAUGCAACAAACACAUGUGAAGUGGACACUCCUAUUAAAGCACCUAAUGUACUUUUCAACAGUUUCCUUGGCAGUAUAGCACACAAUCAGACAUUGAAGGUAUAAGGAAAAAAAAAAUGAAAGUAAAGAAUCUGAUUUUAGCCAUUCAAACAAGUUUCUUAGCUGAUUUAUAGCUGGAUGGUGGUGUGGAUCUUUCAGUUUCAUCCAAUUCUAAGUUCUAACACAAAAACCCAUUUUAGUUUUCUUUGGGUAAUCUUGUCUAUGACCUUCAUUUGGCAUCCUGAUCGCAAAGUAAUGUUUACCAUGUUGGUUGAUUUUUUUUUUUUCGAAAGGAUUAUGAUGUAUUCAAUUUUGGUGUUUCAUGUUUUUCUUUUUCUAUUUUGGCCUAUACAUUGGAGGAAGAUUGUAAAGUAUUUAAGAUUGUUGUAAUAUGUUAUGCCUCUCCCUUUUUAAAUUUUCUUUCUUAAGUUUUUGAACUUUUCCCUCCCAUUUGUGUGAAAUGAAGUAAGAGGACGGCUCUUUGCUCAAAGUGAGAAAAUUUUAUGAGAUAUUACUAAAUUAUACAAAAAUUGCAUUGUUUAUUCUUAUAUUUAAAGAAUAAAGUAGAUAUCAUCUUUAUUCCAUUAUAUAUUGUCCUUUAAAAUUGUUAUUGUUGAUGACUGACAUGAAUGUAUAUUCUUAUGUUUAUGAUUGAUGGAUAAACAUAUCAGAUACAAGAGAAAGAGUGAUAGAACCAGUCGCAAGGGGAGUGAUAGAACCAGUCACAAGGGGUCCUUUACCGUUUUAUACUACCAUUCAAAGGAAAAAUUUUAUUCCCAUGGUCAAAUAUAACUAACCCUGAUAUAGAUUGCCAUGCCUUUCUUCCAUGUAGAAUUUGAAUUUCUAUACAUAACCAAAGUUAAGGGAAUCUUGAUGUUCAAUGUUUAGUGCCAAUACCUUGCUGGCCGAUUGGUACUCUGUAUCAUACGUGUUCCCCUAUAGGAGAGGCUAAAUGGGAUUGAGCAGUACUGCCCUUUCUCCACAUAGCUUAGCAGUACCUUGUGGUAGAGGGUGAAAAGUUGAAAUGGCAGCUACUUGUGGGAUGGUGGCUGGGUAUGAUGUUUUUAGCGUGGGGGUAGAGAUGCUGAUUGAUGUAGGCAUAAAAGUAUGGGUAUGAUGUAGAGUGGUAAAUUUUUAUUAAUGAUUUUUUACAUUCCUUAAUGCUUGUGGAAUGGAUAUCAAAUACUGGAGGAGAAGGAAGUUUGAUUUUGAAUACUGUUAUGUGCUGAUUAGUUUGGGGUUCUGAAAUUUACCAUCUUUAUUGCAGAGAAAUAGGACAUUCUUGGAGGUCUAAUAAGCUGAGAAGAAGAUAUUGUGCAAUCCAUCAAAUUGUGAGUCGAGUCAAGACCUAUGUGGUUGCUAGAGGGAGGUUCAAGAACCAGUUCUUUAUAGAGCUUUAUGUUGUGUUUACUUGACUCUUUUUUGGAUAAAAGGUUCUUAAUUCUUAGUGAUAGUCUUUGUUUUGGCAGUCAUAAGUUUGCCACAAUUUGCUUGCCUUUGGGCUUAGAUUCUUGUAACAGAUGGCUGUUUGUUGUGUUCCUCGCCAAUCAAAGCACAAAUUUGGUUGGUUGUGCUUUUAAACCAAACAGGUCUAUGCUAGUGCAAGCCACCUUCUCUUAGUCAUGUUUUGUAAGGUCCUUUUAAAUAAUCUUUGAUAAAUUGGAAGGUUUUCUGGCCUCCAAUAAAGUUGCAGUUAGUAUUUGUACAGUUAAACAAGUUGGUAAACAAUGAGCACCUGCGUCUUGGCGUGGUUUUCA